ensembl:lncRNA
ACCAAAUGGCUUAUCGGGUGAUACGCAGGAUACUUCAACUGCUGUUGCUUGAUUGCCUUAGACUGCUCAAAUAACUAAGAUCAACAGAGUUUCUUAAACUUUGAAUGUUUUAGAUGUAAUUUUUAAAAUUGAUUCAAAUUUUGUAUUAUACAAUUCAUUCAUAUAUUUGAAAGUCGUCACUAGCAUCCUAGCAUAACCUUCAUAUCAUUUAAAUGAUUAUCCCCCUUUUUGCUCCCAAAAGGCGAUGAAUUUGCACCAUCACACACAAAAAAAGGCAAACAAACAAAACACCUUAAGCUGCGAAGACCAUAUAUCUACUUCAUUGUGCAUUAGGACACGUUUACAGGUAAAAUUAAAAUCAGAAAGUGGGAAAAACACUCUUCAUUCUGACUCUCAAUUUUUCCACUUGCCUAUCCCUGUCCACCACCCCCAGAACUAUACUGUAUCUGUAUUGGACCACAUGUAUUUGCUGGUUUCAUCUUGUUUAUUGAACGAUUUUAAAUGUAUUUAUUAUCACUGUUUAAUGUUGGAUAUAUUUGUAUCGUUAGAGGAAUCUGAUAAUAAUGGGUAAAUUUAGAUUGAUGAAAGUUAGGGAUUGGGGACCCUCCAGGAUUCAACAUUUCUUCCGAUUGUUCGUGGUUUGUUCUAAAUUAGGACAGAUUAGGAGUUAAAUAUUGUUACAUUUCAACUUGACUCACUAAAAAUCUUCUGAUCUCCUUUAUGAACACAGUUAGGAAUGUUAGUUCUUUGUGACGAGGGUAGAUAGUUCUGACCGACAGAAAAAAUAACAGCUACGAUCUAUGCUACUUGCAGUUCUUUGUAAUCCACAGUAAGACACAUGUGCGUAUCCAGUCACACACAAACAUCCUAGCUGAUUUUGAGUUUGAGUUGUAAAAUAUAUUAGAAAAUAAAAACAUAAUUUAUACAUUUGAGCAAAUUGGAGCAAUCACAUUUAUUGCAUUUAUUGAACAUUUUCUUUCCAUUUUUUUCAUUCAUUGAAACUGUGACUUUUCUAAAUCACAUUAGACACCAAUACUCUCAGAGUAAAUUUAUUGACAAGUGACAAGCACACAUUUUAAGGACUUAUUAAUAUUUCUUGGCAGUGUAAUCAAACACUUGUCAUGAAAAAUAUCUGCAUAGACCAAGUACUACACUUUGAGUGAGGAAAAAUGUAAGGAAGGUAUGUUGGCUAUUUUUAAUUUUCAGAAAGAUAUUUCCAUGUAGUAGGAUUGAGUAUCGUGGGCAUAGUUUGAUCUUCACAUACACUUUGAGAAUCAUACCCAAAAGAUUUGCAUUCGUGAAGCCAGUGAACAAUAGGGUGAAAUGGGUGAACCAUCUCCUUGGAACACAGGGCCCAAAUUUUAAAAUUUUUCUUUGAGUAUCAAGUGGCUGGUCACUUUUUUCAGGAUUCUCAUCCAAACUGUGUUUGGACUGACUGUAUAAGUCUUACUGCCUUUUCAGAAAUCUGCUUUCCUUUUUGUGCUUUUUCUUGUACUGUAUAGCACGGUUCAUGCACCUCUCUUUAGAUGGUGUACUUUAAAAACAAAAGUAAAUUUUAGAAAAUGGUUUUAACACUGCAUACCUAAAAUUAGUGUGCAACAUUGACUGCCUUUGAUUUGUAGUAGACGAGUAAAAAUGAGCGCGUUCUUGUAGAAUGCUGUCAGAGUCAUUCAGGAAUGAAUACGGUUUCGUGACCGUAAUCAGGAACCUUUGUACAUGAAUGCACUCUCGAGAAGUGCUAAACGUGAUGCAUUUUCAAAUUUUAAAAAAAUUCUUCAUAUGAUAUAUUUGAAAUGUCUAAAAUAAUGCUGUGCUUGAAACAUUAGUGUAAAAGGAAGAAAAUGUGUGUCACUGUGAUGUUGGUCCUCCCUGUGUGGACACAAGUAGAAAGUAAAAAACUUCGGCAAGUCACCUUUGUGUACAACUUGAGGCAGUGGUUAGAUACAACAAAUUGACCUUUGUUAUAACUUCCCCUCCCCCGAAUCCUUGGUGAGAAAAUAACAGCCAUUGAAACAUUGCAAUCAGAACUGGUGAUUUGUAUGAAUCCCAUCAGAACAUGGGGGAGAGGGGUUGACAUGCAGUGCUAUUGACAAUUGGGCUUGUCACUAGAUCAGAUCAACCUCCAUGUAUAUGGUUAGAACAGAUCAAUUAAUGGAAUCCUAGUAUUUCUGCAAGUUUGGUGAUUUUUUUAAAAACCGGAAUAGAAGCAUUAAUUCAGUGCUUUGUUCUAGUAUUAGAAAACCCCUUUGAUGUAAUGCCUUGUAUUAACCCUUUGAGCAUUGUAAGAUAUACAAUGGGGGACAAAAGCCUUUCAGAUCAUUUAUUUAGACUUAGACCGGUAAAAUAUACUCUAUAUCCAAAUGUCUAAUUAUGCUGUUUUUUUAAAGGGGGGGUAGGAAGAGAAAGUGUUUCCACGCUGGACACUUGCAUUUUAUAUACAACUCUUAAUUUUCUUCAAGAGGGCUUGAUAUAUUUAUUCCCAAAUAUUCACUGCCAUCUAAGUAAGUGUGCUGUUUACAGAAAAAAACAAAUCAACUUUUCUAGCAUCACAUCAUGACUCUAGAAAAGGAGGACAAACACAUGGGCCUGUAGACCCAUGUCAUAACUGAUCUGCACAUUGGAAGUACCUAGAUUGCCUUUAAAAGGUAUGAUAAAGAAAGGGUUACGUUUCUUUCUCUUUUUUUUUUUCCAAAACAAAACAAAAGAUCUCGUUUAUUUAGCUUUAGAAAGUACAAUUGUAAGUGAAGCCUUAGGAAGAAACGAGUUCAAGUGGAUAAAGAAAAGCUGAACUCUUCGAGGGCAGGUAAGCUAUCUGGAGUUAGAUCUCUCAUCAAAUACUGUUUGGGAAUUUCAUACAGGGCAUAAUUUUAUCUAUGCUCCAAAACUUUAAUACUUUGUCAAAAAAUUCUACAUUGAUAGAAUGGAGAGCAAAGCACUUGAUUUUAAGCUCAUCUGUCAGGAGAUGCUAUGACUACUGCUUCUGAUACCUGUAAAUGCCAGUCUGCUGACACAAUUGCUGACUUUGCUCAAGGGACGCUCUCCGAGCAUUGACCCCUCUGUCCCCUGCGUGAUGGAACAGGAGAGCAGUGUCAUCUGCAGAUGCGCUUGCGCUGCCCUGGCCUGGCGCUCGUGAGAGUGUAACCUAUUCCGAUGUCUGGUGAAAGGACAUCCAUAGCAUAGUGCAAGUUUGCCGUCAACGUUGCUUUUUUUAGGCAGUUUAGGAAGUCAAACCAUGCAAAUUACUCAUGUGUUAACAUGCAAUACUCAAAGGGUUUUAAUUUAACUCUCUUCUUUUGAAUUCUUCAUGAUGAUUUACUGUAAAUGCUUCUCAGUUUGCAUGCCUUGAUCAUUGCUGCUAGUGAUUUUAUGUGCCAGUAGACCUGAGUUUAGUUUACCAAUUUUACUUAAAUAGUAAAAGCCACUUACAAAGUGACUGCCUAGGAUUUUUUUUCUUUUGUUUGAAGUAAUUGGUAAUACGUCUUAUUUUCAGAAACGUGUUUUGUCUCUUCUUUCAUUUGGUUCUGGUAUUUGAUUCUUUUCUUUCCCCUCUUUCCUUUGUUUUUUAAAUAAAUUAUGAUCUUGGGAUUGGAAGCCCUGAGUAAUGAAAUCUUUGGUAAGAAUUGUUCAUGUAGCUCAAUAAUGAGGACCACAAAUCUUUGUUAGAAGAAUUAUGAUUCUGGGGAGGAAAGAAGAAAAGAAAAACUCCCAUUGACUGCUGAUAACCAAGUAAAUUUUUCCUUCAGUGAAUUAAUAGUUUUGAACAAAUGAUUGCUUUGUUUUAACCUGCUAAACACAAUUUUAAACGACCCAAUAAAGGAGGUAUUGAAUUGUAUUCAUUUAAAAAAACAUCUUUUGUACCAAAGCAAAUUUUUUUCUCUACUCAUCUCCAUCAUCGAUUGGGACCUAUGGUGGUGACCAAUGCAUUGGUUACAGAAACUUAAGUGAGUGCCUUGAGAACACUUGGAAAUUUGUGCCUGGGGUGGUAAACGUUUAAUUAGGUUAAUUGUAGUGCUUACCAAUCAGUAAUUCCACUAUCACUCAGGGCUUUCGUACCUUCUAGGUAAAACUUCUUUCAUUGUGUUUUUUUAAAAUACUGUAUUUUUUUUUAAGUGCCAUCAUUUAAAUUUCACUUAGUAAGUGGCAGAUUACAUUAUUCAGUCCCACAAGCACAGAAACAUAGUAACACUAGGAGAUAUUGGAACAUUUAUUUUACAAUCGACUGAAUAUAUUAUGUAAAUGAGGUAAGCAACUUUUGUAGAGAUUGUAUGUGUGAGAUAAUGUAAUGUUCUUUUCCAGUUUUUGGACUACAGUUGAAUAAACUUUUUAAUUAUUUAAAAACAUCUUUACCGAAUAACAUGUGAUGGUUUUUUGUAUAAUGUAUUUGAUUUUGUAAAUACGUAUUUCCUGAUGUGAUUUUUGUGAGAAAUGCUAAAUCUUUUAGUAUAUCAUGUCCUCUCAAAAUUGGCAGGAGCUAAAUAAUAGUUUGUGGGCGAUUUGUAUUGUGUACUGUACAAUAACUGGGGAACUUUUAUAAUUAUAAAAAUAUAUAUUAACUUUUAGUGUGUUGUUUAAACAAAUGACUGGAACAUACUAAAGAUAUUAGUAGGAUUUUUCUGAAUAUUUCAGACUUGAACUCAGGCUAGCUUUCUUGUGUUUUUCAAAACAAAAUGGUGUCUUGUCUUUUAAAAUCAAUAAAUUUGUUUCCUUGUUACAAAUACA